GUUAAGUGGGAAACGAUGUGGGAAGGCCCAGACAGCCAGGAUGUUGGCUUAGAAGCAGCCAUCAUUUAAAGAAAGCGUAAUAGCUCACUGGUCGAGUCGGCCUGCGCGGAAGAUGUAACGGGGCUAAACCAUGCACCGAAGCUGCGGCAGCGACACUGUGUGUUGUUGGGUAGGGGAGCGUUCUGUAAGCCUGUGAAGGUGUGUCGUGAGGCAUGCUGGAGGUAUCAGAAGUGCGAAUGCUGACAUAAGUAACGAUAAAGCGGGUGAAAAGCCCGCUCGCCGGAAGACCAAGGGUUCCUGUCCAACGUUAAUCGGGGCAGGGUGAGUCGACCCCUAAGGCGAGGCCGAAAGGCGUAGUCGAUGGGAAACGGGUUAAUAUUCCCGUACUUGGUGUUACUGCGAAGGGGGGACGGAGAAGGCUAUGUUGGCCGGGCGACGGUUGUCCCGGUUUAAGCGUGUAGGUGUGUGUUCCAGGUAAAUCCGGUUCACUUUAACACUGAGGCGUGACGACGAGGCACUACGGUGCUGAAGCAACAAAUGCCCUGCUUCCAGGAAAAGCCUCUAAGCAUCAGGUAACAUCAAAUCGUACCCCAAACCGACACAGGUGGUCAGGUAGAGAAUACCAAGGCGCUUGAGAGAACUCGGGUGAAGGAACUAGGCAAAAUGGUGCCGUAACUUCGGGAGAAGGCACGCUGACACGUAGGUGAAGUGAUUUACUCAUGGAGCUGAAGUCAGUCGAAGAUACCAGCUGGCUGCAACUGUUUAUUAAAAACACAGCACUGUGCAAACACGAAAGUGGACGUAUACGGUGUGACGCCUGCCCGGUGCCGGAAGGUUAAUUGAUGGGGUCAGCGCAAGCGAAGCUCCUGAUCGAAGCCCCGGUAAACGGCGGCCGUAACUAUAACGGUCCUAAGGUAGCGAAAUUCCUUGUCGGGUAAGUUCCGACCUGCACGAAUGGCGUAAUGAUGGCCAGGCUGUCUCCACCCGAGACUCAGUGAAAUUGAACUCGCUGUGAAGAUGCAGUGUACCCGCGGCAAGACGGAAAGACCCCGUGAACCUUUACUAUAGCUUGACACUGAACAUUGAGCCUUGAUGUGUAG
rnacentral:rRNA from 1 species